rnacentral:rRNA from 1 species
UACAGAGGGUGCGAGCGUUGUCCGGAAUCACUGGGCGUAAAGGGCGCGUAGGCGGCUUGAUAAGUAGGGGGUGAAAUCUUGCGGCUCAACUGCAAGGCUGCCUCCUAAACUGACAGGCUUGAGCACAGUAGAGGCAGGUGGAAUUCCCGGUGUAGCGGUGGAAUGCGUAGAGAUCGGGAAGAACAUCGGUGGCGAAGGCGGCCUGCUGGGCUGUUGCUGACGCUGAGGCGCGAAAGCUAGGGGAGCAAACGGG